GAUGAACGCUGGCGGCGUGCCUAAUACAUGCAAGUCGAGCGAACAGACGAGGAGCUUGCUCCUCUGACGUUAGCGGCGGACGGGUGAGUAACACGUGGAUAACCUACCUAUAAGACUGGGAUAACUUCGGGAAACCGGAGCUAAUACCGGAUAAUAUAUUGAACCGCAUGGUUCAAUAGUGAAAGACGGUUUUGCUGUCACUUAUAGAUGGAUCCGCGCCGCAUUAGCUAGUUGGUAAGGUAACAGCUUACCAAGGCAACGAUGCGUAGCCGACCUGAGAGGGUGAUCGGCCACACUGGAGCUGAGACACGGUCCAGACUACUACGGGAGGCAGCAGUAGGGAAUCUUCCGCAAUGGGCGGAAGCCUGACGGAGCAACGCCGCGUGAGUGAUGAAGGUCUUCGGAUCGUAAAACUCUGUUAUUAGGGAAGAACAAAUGUGUAAGUAACUAUGCACGUCUUGACGGUACCUAAUCAGAAAGCCACGGCUAACUACGUG
rnacentral:rRNA from 1 species